CAGAUCUGUGCCCCGAAUCGAGGGCUGCGCGCCUGGGAACAAACGCCGGACAGAGACAACUGCUCCCCAAGCGCGGCUGGCCUAAAGGAAGAGCCUGGAGACAAAAGACUGGAUCACUUUGCCCUGAUACUGUUUUCCUGGCUCUGUGAAUCCUGACUCCUAGAGAGACCAGCAGACUCAGUCAAAGAACCUUGGGGUGGUAUAAAGACCUGAGUACCUGGAGGUGGUUGGGAUCCAAGUCAGCCUAAUCUAGAAACUACCUCACAGACAUGCCAAGAAGUUUGUUUCCAUGAGUAUUUUAAAGCCCAUCAAGUUGACAACCCGAGAUCUCAUUAAGUAUUCAAGCCAGAUAUGAACUGAUAAAGAUGGUACCAGGGCUCUCUGGCUCUUACCUGUCCUGGAUCCUCAGGGAUCACAUGCCUAUGGUGGAGCCUGAACAUUACAUGCUGAGUCUCCACUUGUCAAUCCAGGAGCGGAAGGAGACCACGGUGAUGGUAUGGGGGUCAGAGGACAUAACAGCGUUCUA